rnacentral:rRNA from 5 species
AAAUUGAAGAGUUUGAUCAUGGCUCAGAUUGAACGCUGGCGGCAGGCCUAACACAUGCAAGUCGAACGGUAACAGGAAGCAGCUUGCUGCUUCGCUGACGAGUGGCGGACGGGUGAGUAAUGUCUGGGAAACUGCCUGAUGGAGGGGGAUAACUACUGGAAACGGUGGCUAAUACCGCAUAACGUCGCAAGACCAAAGAGGGGGACCUUCGGGCCUCUUGCCAUCAGAUGUGCCCAGAUGGGAUUAGCUAGUUGGUGAGGUAACGGCUCACCAAGGCGACGAUCCCUAGCUGGUCUGAGAGGAUGACCAGCCACACUGGAACUGAGACACGGUCCAGACUCCUACGGGAGGCAGCAGUGGGGAAUAUUGCACAAUGGGCGCAAGCCUGAUGCAGCCAUGCCGCGUGUAUGAAGAAGGCCUUCGGGUUGUAAAGUACUUUCAGC